CUACAUGUUUUGUGUUUAUUUUAUGUGCAUUAACAAACAUAGCCAGGAAAAUUUCAUAAAUGACGCUAACCAAUUAUUUUUGAUGAUUGCUCGGUUGCAAUGAACCAUUCAUCAAUUAUGAGAUUUUUACCAAUUCCCAACACUAGCUGAUACAUGAUGUAUUACAC